UGCCUUAUGUGAUUGGAUUUUUUUUUAUCAUAUUCUCACCCUAUGUAAAUGAUAUCUUCACUCUACAUGGCAAUUAAACAGCCUGUUGUGAUUUUCCUUGUGUUGUUUAAGGAUUUUGUCAGAACUACCGAGUUAUUCAAAUUUUAUGUGUUGAGUUUCGUAUUCAAUUUGGGGUUUCGGAUUGGUCCUCGGUAUGGUUUUUGUGCUACAUUACUUUUUUUAUAGCUUUGUUGCUGCAAUUCAUUGAUUUGCAUGCUUACAGCAGUAAGAAGUUAGAUAACUGUUGGUCAAGAUGGGAUGGGAGUGGAACUUUUGAUUUCUUUUCAUAACAGUUUUUGCAAAGGCUGUUGGAUGAAUUUGUGAUGAGUGAUUCAGUCCCAUCAAUUAUGUUCUGUUAUCCCAAAGAAGGUACAAUCAGUGACAUGGUGAUAUUCAUUUUUUUGUAUCAUUUUUUCUACCAACUUCUGGAGCUGGACUUGGUAGAAGCAAAAUUGCUUUAGGACCUUGGAGAGUUGGGAGUGUAAAUCGGUUUGAUGUCAUAACUAUGGCAUAAGUUUUAUUCAUUUCAAUUUUCACAAUGCUACUGUCCGCUUAUUACUCGAGUUAUGAUGCGUGUGAGCUCGAGUACACUCUUUCCCGAACAUUGUCACCUUUCUCGUUUUAUGAAACACUAUUAUUGUGCUUAGUUUAUUUUUACAAAUUGGUCUCUUUUUGAACUUAUGCUUGCAGAGGCUGCAGCUUGAUAUAUUGAUCUCUGCUCUGGAUUCAGCAAUGAGGACUUUUUAAGGACACUGUAAAGGAUAGAGUGAUAGGUACACAUCAUUGCCAUUUGCCAUCUCCUAAUAUGGGACACAGUACGCAUGUUUGGUUAAUCAUUAUGCGG
rnacentral:lncRNA from 1 species